GACGAACGCUGGCGGCGUGCCUAAUACAUGCAAGUCGAGCGGACCAAAGGGAGCUUGCUCCUGGAGGUUAGCGGCGAACGGGUGAGUAACACGUGGGCAACCUGCCUGUAAGACUGGGAUAACAUCGAGAAAUCGGUGCUAAUACCGGAUAAUAAAAAGAACUGCAUGGUUCUUUUUGAAAGAUGGUUUCGGCUAUCACUUACAGAUGGGCCCGCGGCGCAUUAGCUAGUUGGUGAGGUAACGGCUCACCAAGGCGACGAUGCGUAGCCGACCUGAGAGGGUGAUCGGCCACACUGGGACUGAGACACGGCCCAGACUCCUACGGGAGGCAGCAGUAGGGAAUCUUCCGCAAUGGACGAAAGUCUGACGGAGCAACGCCGCGUGAGUGAUGAAGGUUUUCGGAUCGUAAAACUCCGUUGUUAGGGAAGAACAAGUGCCGUUCGAAAGGGCGGCACCUUGACGGUACCUAACGAGAAAGCCACGGCUAACUACGUGCCAGCAGCCGCGGUAAAGUACAG
rnacentral:rRNA from 1 species